AAAGUGAAGGGGAGGUGCCUGCUGAAGUGCCUGUGCUGCCAGAGGAAGAGCGCAUGGAGGAUCAGCCUGAAGUCAGAUCCAGAAUUAUCCUGAACAGAAAGAGAGCCAAACUGAUAACUAACAUCCAGGACAGCGAAGGGAAACCACAGAGCUUCCAGGUAGCUGUUAACAUCACAGAAGCUCGACAGCUUGUUGGCGAAAACAUCGACCCCAGCGUGGUCGUCGAGAUCGGGGACGAAAAGAAACAGACGACUGUCAAAGAGGGAACUAAUGCCCCCUUUUACAAUGAGUACUUUGUGUUUGACGUCUUUGCCUACAAAGAGAUCUUCUAUGAUAAAGUCAUUAAGCUGACGGUGAGUAAACACCAGAGGGUGCUCCUUGUGGGGUCUUUCAAGCUGGAUGUGUGGACCGUCUACAAACAGCCAGGUGCGUCUCGCUCUCACCUAUCAACUAAAGACUGCUGUCCUGAUUCUUUAGGUCACCAGUUCAUCAAUAAAUGGGCAAUGUUAACCGAUCCUGGAGACAUUAGCACUGGAGUCAAAGGUUAUGUUAAAUGUGACAUCAGUGUUUCAGCGAAGGGAGAGGCCAUGCAGCCCGGACAGAAAGCCAGUGAUGCUGAGGAGCAGAUAGACAAGAACCUGCUGAUUCCAGAGGGGUUUCCUUCUGAGCGCCCAUGGGCUCGUUUCUGUGUGAAGGUGUACCGAGCUGAAGGCCUUCCGCGAAACAACUCCAGCAUCAUGGCCAACGUCACCAAGGCCUUCAUCGGAGACAACACGGCGCUAAUAGACCCUUAUGUUGUGGUCAGCUUCUUUAAACAAAUGGGCCGCACGUCCACUAAGAAGUCCACAGCAGACCCAGUGUGGAAUGAGCAGAUUGUCUUCACUGAGAUGUUUCCGCCUUUGUGUCAGAGAUUAAAGAUUCAGGUCUGGGAUGAAGGAAGCAUGAAUGAUGUUGCCAUAGGAACCCAUUACUUUGAUCUGAAACGUGUUUCCAAUGAACAAGAUGGUGACAAAGGGUUUUUACCAACAUUUGGCCCUGCUUGGGUCAACCUGUAUGGCUCUGCAAGAAACUACACUUUGGGUGACGACACAGGAGAACUUAACGAAGGCAUUGGCGAGGGCGUUUCCUACAGGGGUCGAGUCUACUUGGAGCUGACAGUGGAGAUCCUGUCAGGGGGGACAGGCUCAGAAUCAAAGCUCAGCCAAAUGAUGAAACCUGCAAAAGACGCUAAAGCAGGCAAGGUGGCUGGGAAGGAUGGGAAGACUCCUGCUGGUGGAGGAGGAAGUGUAGGAGGAGCAGCGGAUGAUGACAAAGGCAAAUCUGGAGCUGCAGAAGUUUUGCCUGUGGAAGCCCCUCCUGUGGUAAGAAGAAACAUAGAAAAUGACUGUGAAAGCUUCCUGCUGUUUGGUGCUGUGUUUGAGGCCACGAUGAUUGACCGUAAGCUAGGAGACAAGCCCAUCAGCUUCGAGUUCUCCCUGGGUUCGAAAAUAGGCCUGGACAUUCCAGACACCACCGAUGUGUUUGGCACCUCCCCCUCAGGCUCCUUCUCCAUCAGCACACCCCUCCUCUCACCCAGAGAGCCUUCAGACCCAAGUGUGAUAGCUAAAUCUGUCACUCCUCCAGAGAGACCUCACAUUGUUGAAGGGAACAGACAUUACAUGCAUCUACCCCUGGAGAAGAAGAAGCCAUGUUUUAACGUGUUGAGUUACUGGGAGGACAGAACCUACCGUCUGUACAACUCUAACAUGCUGGAGAAUAUAGCUGUACUCUUUGUGAGCACACCCACACGCCCACACACAUGCACUCACACAUUAAAGAAUUUUAUUGCAGCCGCUGAGGCCAAGUUGAAGACUGAGCUGAAGAGCAGCAACCUGACGCAGCUAGACAAGAAGCGUCUGACGAUGUGCAAACAGGAGCUGUACCAACAUUCAUUAGGAUGGAUUCAGUUCAUUUUCUACAUCUUCGUUUCUUCUUUUACCCUGCAGCCCCAGCACAUGGUACCAGACAUGUUUGUGUGGUUGCUAAGCAACAACAAACGAGUAGCUUACGCCAGGGUUCGAACCCGCGACCUGCUGUACUCUGGCAACCAGGAAUCCCGAGGGGUUCUCUGUGGGAAAGUAGUAACCUUGUUCUUAAAGCCUCCAGGAAAGCGUGCUGCAGCAUUGACGGUUCAGGCCAAGCUAGACGUGUAUCUGUGGUUUGGAUCUUGUUCAGACUCCUCCCACAUGCUGGAUGACCUACCUGCAGGAUACACACCAAACGAGGGGGGUGCUGAUGCCAGCAGCCCCCCUUCACACCUGGUCUGCACAGAGCACCACCACUUUCAGCUGCGCUGCCACGUGUAUCAGGCUCGCGGUCUGAUAGCUGCAGACAACACGGGCCUGUCAGACCCAUUCGCCCGAGUCACGUUCCUCUCACACAGCCUAACCACGAAUAUAAUCAGUCAGACCCUGAGUCCAACAUGGAACCAGUGCUUGUUAAUGAGCCGCAUCCUGUUGAGUGGAGACCUGCAGUUCAUCCAGAAGGAGCCCCCGCGUGUCGUCAUCGAGGUGUACGAUGAUGACGCUCUGGGUAAAGCUGAGUACCUGGGAGCCACUGUGGCAGUCCCUGGUGUGCAUCUGACCUCUGAACCCUACAUCCCCCCCACCCUGCAGUAUAGUCCACUUCACUAUGGAAGCCAGUCAGGAGGAGACCUACUUGCUGCAUUUGAACUUCUCCAGGUCAGUCAGUCUCACCUCGGCAUCUACACAACUGAAGGAGGCAUCUACACAGUUCCUGCCAACAUCAGGCCUGUUCUCAGCACCUACAGACUGGAGGUGUUGUUCUGGGGUUUGAGGGAGCUGAGGAAGGUUCAGCUUCUGUCUGUUGACCGACCACAGGUGUUUAUAGAGUGUGCAGGUAAAACUUUGCGGUCCUCCGUCAUUCAAAAGUACAAGUCCAACCCAAACUUCACUACGCUGGUAGACUCCAUGGAGCUGGAGCUUCCGGAGAACGAACACCUCCAUCCUCCUCUCAGUAUCACGGUAGUCGACUGGCGGGCCUUCGGCCGCAGCACGCUGGUUGGAAACCACAUCAUCAACAAUCUCAAAGCUUUCAAGUCCACUCCACCUCCAGCCCCACCUCCAACCGACCGAACACAGAGACCAACUCAGGUCACGGAGGCCGGACCAGCUCCAACCACAGAGCCUCCGGUCUCUGAAGGUAAAGCAUGUGUGAGAUGUCACGUUGUUACCAGCUCUCCAAAAAUGUGUUCAAACAUCAGAACUAUUAAACCUCCAGCUCCUGCUCCAUCUUCACCUCCAGCUCACGCCAAAAGCACCCGUCGUUCCACCAAGAGGAGGCGGCGGACCAUUGCUGAUGAGUCAGCAGAGUCCGUCAUCGACUGGUGGUCCAAAUACUACGCGUCUGUGGAGAAGCAGGUAACUUUCAAAGCUGUCUUAAAGGACUGGACAGGUGUCAGUCCAAACCUAAAAGCUGUGCUGUUUCUGGAAGGAAACUCUAGAGUUCCACUCUGGUCUACGUACAAAAUUAGCCACACUGAGCUGGAGGCAGAGUUUGGACCGUUUGAUGAUUGGGUGACCACAUACGAGCUGUUCAGAGGAAAAGCCAAUGAGGAGGAGGGAACAUCUGAGGAGAGGUUUGUUGGGAAGUUUAAGGUACGUUUCCUUUGCUCGGAGGCAGUCAGAGACAUGGGCCACUACAGAAUUGACAGAGGGAUUCCUCCAAACAACCAGGUCCAGGUUCUCAUACGAGUCUACAUCAUCUCAGCAUCCAACCUGCAUCCAGCUGACCCCGACGGGAAAGCUGAUCCAUACAUUGUUCUUCGCAUUGGCAAAAAUGAAAUCAAAGACAGAGACAACUACAUUCCCAAGGAGCUGAAUCCUGUUUUUGGAAGAUCAUUUGAGUUGCAGGCUACAUUUCCUCAGGAGUCUCUUCUGUCAGUGGUUGUUUACGACUUUGACUUGGUGGGAGGAGACGACCUGAUUGGAGAGACUCGCAUAGACCUGGAGAACAGAUUCUACAGCCGACACAGAGCCACCUGUGGACUUCCUACUGAGUACAGCCUUGGGGGUUACAACGCCUGGAGAGACUGUCUGAAGCCAUCAGAGUUGCUGUCAAGGAUGUGCAGAGAAAACGGAGUGGACGGCCCUCACUUCAGUCCCGGUCGCAUCGUUGUGGCAGGCAAAGUUUUUACCGGAAAGACGCUCUACAUGGAAGAAGAUAAAGAUGAGCCGGUGGAGUCCUACGAGCACUUGUCCCUGAAGAUACUGCACCGCUGGGCUGAGAUCCCUGGUGUGGGAUGCAAGCUGGUUCCAGAACACAUUGAGACCAGAACUCUCUUCAACAAGACCCGGCCUGGAAUGGAUCAGGGCCAGGUUCAGAUGUGGGUGGACAUGUUCCCUUUGGACCUACCACAUCCAGGCCCUCCUGUAGACAUCUCACCUCGAAAACCCAAAGGGUAUGAGCUACGUAUAAUCAUCUGGAACACAGAGGAUGUCAUUCUGGAAGACACCAACUUUCUGACGGGCCAACAGUCCAGUGAUAUUUAUGUCAAAGGCUGGCUGAAGGGUUUAGAAGAUGACCGACAGGAGACAGAUGUUCACUACAACUCUCUGACCGGGGAAGGAAACUUCAACUGGCGCUUUGUGUUUCCCUUCAGCUAUAUGCCUGCUGAGAAGGUGGUGGUGGUGAAGAAAAGAGAACAUAUCUUCUCACUGGACAAAACCGAGCAGAAGCUCCCUGCCAUCCUAAUCCUGCAGGUCUGGGACUUUGAGACGCUCUCCUCCGACGACUUCCUUGGUGCAUUAGAGCUGGACCUUCAUGGAUUUCCUCGUGGAGCAAAAACAGCCAAGUCAUGCAAAGCAGAGAUGUUGACAGACCUGAUGGAGAAAAUCUCCAUCUUCCAGCAGAAGAGGGCUCGUGGCUGGUGGCCAUUCUGCAAGUCUGGAGAGCUCACAGGGAAGGUGGAGGCAGAGUUCCAUCUGGUGACAGGUGACGAGGCUGAGAAGAACCCAGUAGGAAAGGCGAGGAAAGAGCCAGAGCCACUGCCCAAACCAAACCGCCCCGACACCUCCUUCUCCUGGUUUGUGAAUCCGUUUAAGUGUUUCUUCCACCUGGUGUGGCGAAGCUACAAGAAGUACAUCAUCAUCGCUCUAAUCCUGCUCAUCACCGUGCUCUUCCUCGCCCUGUUGUUCUACACUCUGCCAGGAGCCAUCUCUCAGAAGAUCAUCAAUGGAUGAAGCAGACAGCAGGCUUCAGAGGAGAUAGCCUUCAUUAAAAUAUAUUUUCCAGGUUUAAAUGUAGUGUUGAAUAAGACAUGCUAGCCUGUUAUCUAUAAACAGUUCUUGUUUGUAACCUGGUCAAAGACUCAAACUAGUCUGAAAAGUGAAGAUGCACAAAGAAUAUUACUUUGUUUCUGUGGACAGAAGGUUAAAGGUUAACGUUGUUUUCCAAGUUCAGAAGCUGGAAUUUUUAAACCUCCAAUCUGAGAUCAUGAAGUUUAUUUCCUCCUCGAGAUGCUGACGUAAAACUAGACCAAGACUCUUGAACAGCACUGAUUAUAAAAGAACGCAAAUAAAAUGGAAACUUUUUUUU
rnacentral:lncRNA from 1 species